rnacentral:rRNA from 1 species
ACGGGAGGCAGCAGUGGGGAAUAUUGGGCAAUGGGGGAAACCCUGACCCAGCAACGCCGCGUGAAGGAAGAAGGCCUUCGGGUUGUAAACUUCUUUUACCAGGGACGAAGAAUGACGGUACCUGGAGAAAAAGCAACGGCUAACUACGUGCCAGCAGCCGCGGUAAUACGUAGGUUGCAAGCGUUGUCCGGAUUUACUGGGUGUAAAGGGCGUGUAGGCGGAGCUGCAAGUCAGAUGUGAAAUCCCGGGGCUCAACCCCGGAACUGCUUUUGAAACUGCGUAGCUAGAGUGCAGGAGAGGCAAGCGGAAUUCCUAGUGUAGCGGUGAAAUGCGUAGAUAUUAGGAAGAACACCGGUGGCGAAGGCGGCUUGCUGGACUGAGACUGACGCUGAGGCUCGAAAGCGUGGGGAGCAAACAGGAUUAGAUACCCUGGUA